rnacentral:rRNA from 1 species
AGUGAACGCUGGCGGUAGGCCUAACACAUGCAAGUCGAACGGCAGCACAGUAAGAGCUUGCUCUUACGGGUGGCGAGUGGCGGACGGGUGAGGAAUACAUCGGAAUCUACUUUUUCGUGGGGGAUAACGUAGGGAAACUUACGCUAAUACCGCAUACGACCUACGGGUGAAAGCAGGGGAUCUUCGGACCUUGCGCGAUUGAAUGAGCCGAGGUCGGAUUAGCUAGUUGGCGGGGUAAAGCCCACCAAGGCGACGAUCCGUAGCCGGUCUGAGAGGAUGAGCAGCCACACUGGAACUGAGACACGGUCCAGACUCCUACGGGAGGCAGCAGUGGGGAAUAUUGGACAAUGGGCGCAAGCCUGAUCCAGCCAUACCGCGUGGGUGAAGAAGGCCUUCGGGUUGUAAAGCCCUUUUGUUGGGAAAGAAAAGCAGCAGGUUAAUACCCCGCUGUUCUGACGGUACCCAAAGAAUAAGCACCGGCUAACUUCGUG